UACGGAGGGUGCAAGCGUUAUCCGGAUUCACUGGGUUUAAAGGGUGCGUAGGCGGACAGGUAAGUCAGUGGUGAAAUCUCUGGGCUUAACCCAGAAACUGCCGUUGAUACUAUUUGUCUUGAAUAUCCUGGAGGUAGGCGGAAUAUGUCAUGUAGCGGUGAAAUGCUUAGAUAUGACAUAGAACACCAAUUGCGAAGGCAGCUAUCUACAGGAAUAUUGACACUGAGGCACGAAAGCGUGGGGAUCAAACAGG
rnacentral:rRNA from 1 species